AACGUAGGUUCCGAGCGUUAUCCGGAUUUACUGGGCGUAAAGCGUGUUCAGGCGGCUGGACAAGUCGGGCAUGAAAUCUCUCGGCUCAACCGGGAGAGGCUGUCCGAAACUGUUCGGCUGGAGGGCAGUAGAGGGUGGUGGAAUUCCGGGUGUAGUGGUGAAAUGCGUAGAUAUCCGGAGGAACACCAGUGGCGAAAGCGGCCACCUGGACUGUACCUGACGCUCAAACACGAAAGCUAGGGGAGCGAACGGGAUUAGAAACCCCUGUAGUCC
rnacentral:rRNA from 1 species